rnacentral:rRNA from 1 species
UACAGGGGGUGCAAACGUUGCUCGGAAUUAUUGGGCGUAAAGCGCGCGUAGGCGGCCGCUUAAGUCGGAUGUGAAAGCCCCUGGCUCAACUGGGGAAGUGCACCCGAAACUGAGUGGCUUGAGUACUAAAGAGGGUCGCGGAAUUCCCGGUGUAGAGGUGAAAUUCGUAGAUAUCGGGAGGAACACCGGUGGCGAAGGCGGCGACCUGGGCCUGUACUGACGCUGAGGAGCGAAAGCGUGGGGAGCGAACAGG